GCUCCAUAUGCUCCCCUGCUAAUUGUUGGGCACUAGGUCGUCUUUCUGGAAAGGGUCGAGAAAACAGAAGUCCUCAGUGAAGAUCUGCUACAGACGGCGGGGGCAGAGACACAGGCAGAGGGAGAAGCAGGCUCCAUGCCGGGAGCCCGACACGGGACUCGAUCCCGGGACUCCAGGAUCGCACCCUGGACCAACGGCAGGCGCCAAAGAGCCACCCAGGGAUCCCC